GACGAACGCUGGCGGCGUGCUUAACACAUGCAAGUCGAACGCUGAAGCUUGGUGCUUGCACUGGGUGGAUGAGUGGCGCACGGGUGAGUAAUACGUGAGUAACCUGCCCUUGACUCUGGGAUAAGCCUGGGAAACUGGGUCUAAUACUGGAUACGACAUGUCACCGCAUGGUGGUGUGUGGAAAGGGUUUUACUGGUUUUGGAUGGGCUCACGGCCUAUCAGCUUGUUGGUGGGGUAAUGGCUCACCAAGGCGACGACGGGUAGCCGGCCUGAGAGGGUGACCGGCCACACUGGGACUGAGACACGGCCCAGACUCCUACGGGAGGCAGCAGUGGGGAAUAUUGCACAAUGGGCGGAAGCCUGAUGCAGCGACGCCGCGUGAGGGAUGACGGCCUUCGGGUUGUAAACCUCUUUCAGCACGGAAGAAGCGAAAGUGACGGUACGUGCAGAAGAAGCGCCGGCUAACUACGUG
rnacentral:rRNA from 1 species